rnacentral:rRNA from 1 species
GGGCUGCUCACUGAUUAGAGAUUUUAAAGAGCCGCGGUAUUCUGACCGYGCAAAGGUAGCAUAAUCAUUAGUUUUUUAAUUGGGAACUGGUAUGAAUGGUUUGACAAGAAGAAAGCUGUCUUAAUCAUAGAAAUUGAAUUUAACUUUUAAGUGAAAAGGCUUAAAUAGUUUAGGGGGACGAUAAGACCCUAUAAAGCUUUAUAUAAWAAUCAAGAUUUAUUGAAUUAAAAAAUAAAAAUUYAUAUUGAUUAUUAUAUUAUAUUGGGGCGAUAUAAGUAUAAUUUAUUAUAACUGCUUAGGAUAAGUGACACUAAUGAGUGUAUAAAAUAUAGAGGAUCCUGUAAUAUAGAUUAACAGUUCAAGUUACUUUAGGGAUAACAGCGUUAUUUCUUUUGAGAGUUCAUAUCGAAAAAGAAGUUGCGACCUCGAUGUUGAAUUAAAGUUUCUAUAUAAUGUAGCCGUUAUAUAAGAAGGUCUGUUCGACCUUAAACUUUACAG